rnacentral:misc_RNA from 1 species
AACUUGAGCUAUCAAUGUGGAAUGUAAUUUGACCUCAGAAAUGUAGCUAAGAAUUAAAGUGUUACCUUUGCUAUUUAGGAUACCUGAGGAUGAGGUUGCAUAUGCUCAACAUUCAAGAAGAAACGGAUUGUGUGCCUUAUUAUAUUGCUUGUUUUUAUCAUGGAAUUAUUGCUAAUUGAUUGGAACAUUAGUGCAUCUUUCUUUAAAAUUAGGUGUUUGUGCCAAUAAGGAAUCACAAGGGACAGAG